AGCAGCCGCGGUAAUUCCAGCUCCAAUAGCGUAUAUUAAAGUUGUUGCAGUUAAAAAGCUCGUAGUUGAAUUUCGGGGUUAAUAAGUUGGUCGUGCCAAUGGUAUGUACUGGCUUUAUUGAUUCCUACCUCUUGAAGAACUGUGAUGCCAUUAAUUUGGUGUUGCAGGGAAUCAGGACUGUUACCUUGAAAAAAUUAGAGUGUUUAAAGCAGGCUUAAGCUUGAAUACAUUAGCAUGGAAUAAUGAAAUAGGACGUUUGAACCUAUUUUGUUGGUUUUUAGGAUCGACGUAAUGAUUAAUAGGGAUAGUUGGGGGCAUUAGUAUUCAAUUGUCAGAGGUGAAAUUCUUGGAUUUAUUGAAGACUAACUACUGCGAAAGCAUUUGCCAAGGAUGUUUUCAUUAAUCAAGAACGAAAGUUAGGGGAUCGAAGACGAUCAGAUACCGUCGUAGUCUUAACCAUAAACUAUGCCGACUAGGGAUCGGAUGAUGUUUAAUUUUUUAAUGUACUCAUUCGGCGCCU
rnacentral:rRNA from 1 species